GGGUUGUGAGGUUAAGCGACUAAGCGUACACGGUGGAUGCCCUGGCAGUCAGAGGCGAUGAAGGACGUGCUAAUCUGCGAUAAGCGUCGGUAAGGUGAUAUGAACCGUUAUAACCGGCGAUUUCCGAAUGGGGAAACCCAGUGUGAUUCGUCACACUAUCAUUAACUGAAUCCAUAGGUUAAUGAGGCGAACCGGGGGAACUGAAACAUCUAAGUACCCCGAGGAAAAGAAAUCAACCGAGAUUCCCCCAGUAGCGGCGAGCGAACGGGGAGCAGCCCAGAGCCUGAAUCAGUGUGUGUGUUAGUGGAAGCGUCUGGAAAGGCGCGCGAUACAGGGUGACAGCCCCGUACACAAAAAUGCACAUGCUGUGAGCUCGAUGAGUAGGGCGGGACACGUGGUAUCCUGUCUGAAUAUGGGGGGACCAUCCUCCAAGGCUAAAUACUCCUGACUGACCGAUAGUGAACCAGUACCGUGAGGGAAAGGCGAAAAGAACCCCGGCGAGGGGAGUGAAAAAGAACCUGAAACCGUGUACGUACAAGCAGUGGGAGCACGCUUAGGCGUGUGACUGCGUACCUUUUGUAUAAUGGGUCAGCGACUUAUAUUCUGUAGCAAGGUUAACCGAAUAGGGGAGCCGAAGGGAAACCGAGUCUUAACUGGGCGUUAAGUUGCAGGGUAUAGACCCGAAACCCGGUGAUCUAGCCAUGGGCAGGUUGAAGGUUGGGUAACACUAACUGGAGGACCGAACCGACUAAUGUUGAAAAAUUAGCGGAUGACUUGUGGCUGGGGGUGAAAGGCCAAUCAAACCGGGAGAUAGCUGGUUCUCCCCGAAAGCUAUUUAGGUAGCGCCUCGUGAAUUCAUCUCCGGGGGUAGAGCACUGUUUCGGCAAGGGGGUCAUCCCGACUUACCAACCCGAUGCAAACUGCGAAUACCGGAGAAUGUUAUCACGGGAGACACACGGCGGGUGCUAACGUCCGUCGUGAAGAGGGAAACAACCCAGACCGCCAGCUAAGGUCCCAAAGUCAUGGUUAAGU
rnacentral:rRNA from 1 species